rnacentral:rRNA from 1 species
GUGGGGUGACUGCGUACCUUUUGUAUAAUGGGUCAGCGACUUAUAUUCUGUAGCAAGGUUAACCGAAUAGGGGAGCCGGAGGGAAACCGAGUCUUAAUUGGGCGUUAAGUUGCAGGGUAUAGACCCGAAACCCGGUGAUCUAGCCAUGGGCAGGUUGAAGGUUGGGUAACACUAACUGGAGGACCGAACCGACUAAUGUUGAAAAAUUAGCGGAUGACCUGUGGCUGGGGGUGAAAGGCCAAUCAAACCGGGAGAUAGCUGGUUCUCCCCGAAAGCUAUUUAGGUAGCGCUUCGUGAAUUCAUCUCCGGGGGUAGAGCACUGUUUCGGCUAGGGGGCCAUCCCGGCUUACCAACCCGAUGCAAACUGCGAAUACCGGAGAAUGUUAUCACGGGAGACACACGGCGGGUGCUAACGUCCGUCGUGAAGAGGGAAACAACCCAGACCGCCAGCUAAGGUCCCAAAGUCAUGGUUAAGUGGGAAACGAUGUGGGAAGGCCCAGACAGCCAGGAUGUUGGCUUAGAAGCAGCCAUCAUUUAAAGAAAGCGUAAUAGCUCACUGGUCGAGUCGGCCUGCGCGGAAGAUGUAACGGGGCUAAACCAUGCACCGAAGCUGCGGCAGCGACACUGUGU